rnacentral:rRNA from 1 species
CAGUAGCCGCGGGAAUACGGAGGGCGCGAGCGUUACCCGGAUUUACUGGGCGUAAAGGGCGUGUAGGCGGCCUGGGGCGUCCCAUGUGAAAGGCCACGGCUCAACCGUGGAGGAGCGUGGGAUACGCUCAGGCUAGAGGGUGGGAGAGGGUGGUGGAAUUCCCGGAGUAGCGGUGAAAUGCGCAGAUACCGGGAGGAACGCCGAUGGCGAAGGCAGCCACCUGGUCCACUUCUGACGCUGAGGCGCGAAAGCGUGGGAGCAAACCGGAUUAGAUACCCCCGUAGUCCCUGUCUCUUAUACA